GGACCUUUUGCGCAAUGGUAGCGCAUCUGACUCCAGAUCAGAAGGUUGUGUUCAUCAACUUCUAGUAGCUCAGUGGUUCA
rfam:Danio rerio chromosome 7, GRCz11 reference primary assembly.